AACAAGGGCGCACGGUGGAUGCCUUGACACCAAAAGACGAAGAAGGACGUUGUAGGGUGCGAUAAGCCUCGGGGAGCUCCCAAACAAGCGGUGAUCCGGGGAUGUCCGAAUGGGGAAACCCACUCCGACGCAAGUCGGGGAAUCGUACACUGAAUCCAUAGGUGUAUGAAGAAGACCUAGCGAAGUGAAACAUCUCAGUAGCUAGAGGAAAAUAAAUCGAAGAGAUUCCCCCAGUAGUGGCGAGCGAAAAGGGAACAGCCUAAACCUUAUAUUUGUUGCUAUCGUAAGAGGUUGAUCGCAAGAUUGAUUUUGAACGGUAGCUUAAAGGACAGACCGUUGAAUAUAAGGUGUUGCAAGAUAGAUAUGCCGGUUUUCUGUAGGCCGGGUGAGUACAGGUUAUUUUUUAGCGGAAUUGUUCUGGAACGAACAACCACAGAUGGUAAUAGUCCAGUACGCGAAAAAAAAUAACCUAUCAUAGUGUCUAUUCUUAAGUAGGGCGGAACUCGUGAAAUUCCGUCUGAACCCAGGCCGACUAUGGUCUAAGGCUAAAUACUUUUGGUGAUCGAUAGUGGACAAGUACCACGAGGGAAAGGUGAAAAGCAGCCCGGGAGGGCGAUGAAAUAGUAUCUGAAACCGUGUGCUUACAAAGAGCGGGAGUCCUGGAUGUCGCAAGAUGUUCGGAUGACCGUGUUCCUAUUGAAGAAUGAGCCUGCGAGUAUGCUGUAUGUCGUUGCUUAAACCCCUCUGGGGUGGAGGCGUAGCGAAAGCGAGUCUUAACGGGCGAAUAUAAUGGCAUGCACAUAACCCGAAACCGGGUGAGCUAUCCAUGACCAGGAUGAGCCCUUUCGAAAGCGGUGAUAGCUGGUUCUCCUCGAAAUAGUUCUAGGACUAGCCUCGAGAAUUCCUUGCGGUGGUAGAGCACUGGAUGAGAAUUGGGUCCUUCGGGAUACCGUUUUCAAUCAAACUCCGAAUACCGCAAGUCACAUCUCGGGAGUCAGACAGUGACGGCUAAGCGCCAUUGUCAAAAGGGAAACAGCCCAUGAUCGCUAGCUAAGGCCCCUAAAUCCAGAUUAAGUGUAAAAGGUGGUGUUAACUCUUAUACAACCAGGAGGUUGGCUUAGAAGCAGCCAUCCUUUAAAGAAAGCGUAACAGCUCACUGGUCAAGAGUU
rnacentral:rRNA from 1 species